rnacentral:rRNA from 1 species
ACGAACGCUGGCGGCGUGCUUAACACAUGCAAGUCGAACGGAAAGGCCCUGCUUUUGUGGGGUGCUCGAGUGGCGAACGGGUGAGUAACACGUGAGUAACCUGCCCUUGACUUUGGGAUAACUUCAGGAAACUGGGGCUAAUACCGGAUAGGAGCUCCUGCUGCAUGGUGGGGGUUGGAAAGUUUCGGCGGUUGGGGAUGGACUCGCGGCUUAUCAGCUUGUUGGUGGGGUAGUGGCUUACCAAGGCUUUGACGGGUAGCCGGCCUGAGAGGGUGACCGGCCACAAUGGGACUGAGAGACGGCCCAGACUCCUACGGGAGGCAGCAGUGGGGAAUAUUGCACAAUGGGCGGAAGCCUGAUGCAGCAACGCCGCGUGCGGGAUGACGGCCUUCGGGUUGUAAACCGCUUUCGCCUGUGACGAAGCGUGAGUGACGGUAAUGGGUAAAGAAGCACCGGCUAACUACGUG